rnacentral:tRNA from 1 species
GCGCCCGUAGCUCAGUCGGAUAGAGCGCAGGAUUCCUAAUCCUGAGGUCGCAGGUUCGAAUCCUGCCGGGCGCGCCA